GACGAACGCUGGCGGCGUGCUUAACACAUGCAAGUCGAGCGGUAAGGCCCUUUCGGGGGUACACGAGCGGCGAACGGGUGAGUAACACGUGGGUGACCUGCCUUUAGCUCUGGGAUAAGCCUGGGAAACCGGGUCUAAUACCGGAUAUGACUCCGCGGCGCAUGUUGUGGGGUGGAAAGCCCUGUGCGGCUGGAGAUGGGCCCGCGGCCUAUCAGCUUGUUGGUGGGGUGAUGGCCUACCAAGGCGACGACGGGUAGCCGGCCUGAGAGGGCGACCGGCCACACUGGGACUGAGACACGGCCCAGACUCCUACGGGAGGCAGCAGUGGGGAAUCUUGCGCAAUGGGCGAAAGCCUGACGCAGCGACGCCGCGUGAGGGAUGACGGCCU
rnacentral:rRNA from 1 species